rnacentral:rRNA from 1 species
CCUACGGGGGGCAGCAGUGAGGAAUAUUGGUCAAUGGACGAGAGUCUGAACCAGCCAAGUAGCGUGAGGGAUGACGGCCCUAUGGGUUGUAAACUUCUUUUAUAAGGGAAUAAAACGCGGCACGUGUGCCUUUUUGCAUGUACUUUAUGAAUAAGGAUCGGCUAACUCCGUGCCAGCAGCCGCGGUAAUACGGAGGAUCCGAGCGUUAUCCGGAUUUAUUGGGUUUAAAGGGAGCGUAGUUGGGUUGUUAAGUCAGUUGUGAAAGUUUGUGGCUCAACCGUAAAAUUGCAAUUGAUACUGGCAGUCUUGAGUACAGUUGAGGUAAGCGGAAUGCGUGGUGUAGCGGUGAAAUGCAUAGAUAUCACGAAGAACCCCGAUUGCGAAGGCAGCUUACUAAAGUGUGACUGACAUUGAUGCUCGAAAGUGUGGGUAUCAAACAGGAUUAGAUACCCCAGUAGUC